rnacentral:antisense_RNA from 1 species
AGGUGGAGAUCCUAAGUAGGAUAGUUAUUUUGGAAAGGCUACCCUCUGGCUAGCUUUCCUGAUCCGUGCUCUCAGAGAUGGAAGGUGACCCACGUCCUACUUUUGCGGUUGGGUCAUAUCAAAUCUGUAUCGGCUUACGCGAAGGAAGUUACGAGCAAGUUCCACCGGAAAGAAAAUCUAGCUCGGGGACUGCACUCGAGGCCAAGGAGCGGGCAGCGCGUCCGUGGUGGGGUCGCCCAGCACUGCCAGCCGCGCUGAACCCGACCCCCAGCCUGCGGGGCAGGGCUCCCUGGCUGCCCCGUGGACCCGGCCAGCCCGGGACGAGGACGCAGGGCCUCGGCAGGGACGCCGGAGCCAGCCCUCCGCUAUCCCCACACGCCCCGCGGCCCAGCGGCCGCGCGCACGUUACCUGCGGAGCCCGGCCCUGCCCGCCCGUCUGGGCUGCCGCCCUC